UGCGAAGGCAGCUUUCUGGAUCAUUACUGACACUGAGGAACGAAAGCAUGGGUAGCGAAGAGGAUUAGAUACCCUCGUAGUCCAUGCCGUAAACGAUGUGUGUUAGACGUUGGAAAUUUAUCUUCAGUGUCGCAGGGAAACCGAUAAACACACCGCCUGGGGAGUACGACCGCAAGGUUAAAACUCAAAUGAAUUGACGGGGACCCGCACAAGUAGUGGAGCAUGUGGUUUAAUUCGAAGAUACGCGCAGAACCUUACCAACACUUGACAUGUUCGUCGCGACUCUAAGAGAUUAGAGUUUUCGGUUCGGCCGGACGAAACACAGGUGCUGCAUGGCUGUCGUCAGCUCGUGUCGUGAGAUGUUGGGUUAAGUCCCGCAACGAGCGCAACCCUCACUUUUAGUUGCCAUCAUUAAGUUGGGCACUCUAGAAGAACUGCCAGUGAUAAGCUGGAGGAAGGUGGGGAUGACGUCAAGUCCUCAUGGCCCUUACGUGUUGGGCUACACACGUGCUACAAUGGCAUCUACAACAGGAAGCAAAACGGCAACGUUAAGCAAAUCCCGAAAAGAUGCCUCAGUUCGGAUUGCACUCUGCAACUCGAGUGCAUGAAGCUGGAAUUACUAGUAAUCGUGGAUCAGCGUGCCACGGUGAAUGCGUUCCCGGGUCUUGUACACACCGCCCGUCACACCAUGGGAGUUGGUUCUACCUUAAGGCAAGGUUUCAAACCCUUGACCACGGUAUAGUCAGCGACUGGGGUGAAGUCGUAACAAGGUAGCCGUA
rnacentral:rRNA from 1 species